UUCGAAGUGCGUAGAGACAGCGAGCGUGUAUAGGCUCUCUAGCGGGAGGUUGAUUCCGGGCGACGACGAAGCAUAAGUUCGUUUUGCGAAGCCACCAGCAAACAAGCGCUUAUUUGGUCAACCGUCGACAGACGAAAAACGCGUUUCUGUCCCGUGAUCCAGCAAGUGUGUGACGACUCGAGAAUUAUUGCGAGAAGAAAGCAGGAACCAGUCGUUUAUCUCCGAACCGUGCAGAAUACGGGCAUUGUGCGCCGCGCGCACUGAGCAGCAGGAAAUUAUAAAUAUACUUUCCGGUUCACCUCAUCGGUUAAUCUGUUGACCGUCGUCGGCGGCGAUUGCCACCCAACCCAACACCACCGCUGGCGUUUGUUGUUCGGUGCCGGAGCCCAGACCACAAGUCGCUUGAGGAGGAAGCGUCCAGCUAAUCAGCAAGCGACCGAGGGAAAGAGAGAGCAAAAGAGCUCCAGAAUCCGUUUGGUUCCGGUGCGGUGCGUGCCGAGUGCGUGCGAUGCUUUCAGAGUCCAGCGGUUGUUAAUGCUACUAUCACUCUAACUGUGCCGGGUCCUGGACCGCUGCCGGGGCGGUCUCUCUCUCUGAUAUCUGCCGUGCUCUGAUGACAUCGGGUGCCAUUACAACAAUCCCUCGACGCGGCGGGAGGGUCCCUGGCCCUGAGCGCGAGCGUGCAUAAAUAUUAAUGGAACGACCUUCUCGUCCUCCUGCUUGUCGUCCUCCUCCUCCUCCUGCUCUUCAUUUUCCGUGAUCUCCCCGGUCAGUGUGUGUGUGUGUGUGUGUGUGUGUGUGAAGGAGGGGCGGACCGGCCCCCCGUGCGCGGUAUCCCGGGGUAAAUUAGAUUAAAAAGCGGUAAAAAUCAAGAAAUGCGCUCUCGACUAAAAGGGUGAUUUUUUGGGGGAGGCGGCACUCUACGGAGUUUCGGUGCGUGCGUUCUCCGUGUGUGUUUUUUUCUGGUGUAUCCUGGUGCGUGUGUGUGUGUGUGUGUGUGUCUGCGCCUCUUGUGCGGUGUUAGCGGUGGUGCAGGCCCCGCAAAACGUCCCCCACCAUUAGUGGCGCGAGCGAGCGAGCGAGCGCGCGCGCCCUUGCGAGUAGUAGUGGCCGCGCACUGUGUGUGAGGUCCAAGUUUGAAGGAGGAAGAGAAGAAGAAGCAAAAGUGCUGUUCGCGGUGGUGUGCCAGGUGACCACGGGGAAGACGGGAAGGUGAGGGAGAUCCGGUCCCGGUUUUGUGCGUAAGUGUGUAUCGGUCGUUCGGUCGGUCGAUCAUCUUCGGCUCAAUUAGAGUGAGCUUUUGCUUCUUUGAGCAGCAGCAGCAGCAGAAGAAGAAUAGGUGGUGAACGGCGAAGAAAGGCGAAGGAGAAGAGUUAAAGAAAACAAAGUGGAAGCACAGCAGGUGACGAAGGCCGUGGAGUCUCGCUGGAGUUGUUCGCAGUUCGCGGAGAGUUCAUCGGAUCGUCCACAGGACGUCCGCGCGAGCAGAUUCGUGUUCUUCGUCAUCGUCCUGCGUCGUCGUGUUUCGUGUUCGUCGUCUGCAGCGGUGUGACCAUAAAAGCUGAAACAGGGCCCCGCGAACGAGAAGUGUGGUACCGAGGAGCUGUCGAGAGAGAGAGAGAGCUGGACAAGCCGGCGUCUUCGUAGGGCUCGCCACGAGAAACGAUGCAGCAUCGGCAGCAGCAGGAGCAACAGCAGCAACAACAGCAGCAUUACGACUAUCACGCCGGACGAUCAGAAGCAGAGCUGCGGCAACUGCAACCGAAGAAUCAUCAGCAGGAGCAGCAGCAGCAGCAGCAUCAUCAUUAUCGUGGUCGACAGUGUCGUGACCGGAGCGUGCUCGAUCGCCAAUAAGCU